rnacentral:rRNA from 1 species
UACGUAGGUCCCGAGCGUUGUCCGGAUUUAUUGGGCGUAAAGCGAGCGCAGGUGGUUAAUUAAGUCUGGUGUAAAAGGCAGUGGCUCAACCAUUGUAUGCAUUGGAAACUGGUAGACUUGAGUGCAGGAGAGGAGAGUGGAAUUCCAUGUGUAGCGGUGAAAUGCGUAGAUAUAUGGAGGAACACCGGUGGCGAAAGCGGCUCUCUGGCCUGUAACUGACACUGAGGCUCGAAAGCGUGGGGAGCAAACAGG